rnacentral:rRNA from 1 species
ACGGGAGGCAGCAGUGAGGAAUAUUGGUCAAUGGGCGGAAGCCUGAACCAGCCAAGUAGCGUGAAGGAUGACGGCCCUAUGGGUUGUAAACUUCUUUUACAGGGGAAUAAAGAUGCCUACGUGUAGGCAGUUGCAUGUACCCUGCGAAUAAGGAUCGGCUAAUUCCGUGCCAGCAGCCGCGGUAAUACGGAAGAUCCGAGCGUUAUCCGGAUUUAUUGGGUUUAAAGGGAGCGUAGGCGGGCUGAUAAGUCAGUGGUCAAAGCGUGUGGCUCAACCAUACCACGCCGUUGAAACUGUCAGCCUUGAGUGCACGCGAGGAUGGUGGAAUUCGUGGUGUAGCGGUGAAAUGCUUAGAUAUCACGAAGAACUCCGAUUGCGAAGGCAGCUGUCCGGAGUGCAACUGACGCUGAUGCUCGAAAGUGCGGGAAUCAAACAGGAUUAGAUACCCUGGUA